rnacentral:lncRNA from 12 species
AUGCGGGGAUGGGGAAUCUUCCCCAGAGCGGUGUGGGGCAAAAAACACGCCACAGCUCCCCCAUUCCAGAAGAAAGUCCUUGAAGAAGUCUUGCUCCCUAGACACAUGGGACUGCUCGAGUUCUUCCUCCUUCUCUCCCUCUCUGCUUCUCUCUUCCACACAGAGUUCCCGAUCCCCCAGCCGUGCUCAACAUCAGCCCGUUGCAUGUUUUUCAACAAAAAUCAGCCAGAGUUGGUUGCCUUUGCGAGAGAAAAUACCAUCACGACUGGCAACACAUGGACUGGUGAGGGGCUAAUGUGGAGUGUGGGUGACGUCGCGGCGGCCUGCAGUCACCUCUCGCCCGGACCGUCCUUACCUCUGCGAGUCAGGCCCACAAACCACAGCACAGGGUCCGGAUGCAAACCCCACUCCCUUCCACCCAGCCCCAUCGCCAUCCCCCGUGGGGUUCAUUUUCCCCAUCCAACCCGGCAGACCUCCAAAUCCUGGCAGAAGGAACGAGGCUCCCGAGGAGUGCACAGCCUGGACAGACGAACCAGGGCUGCAGAGUCACCUCUGGCAAGACACGGUCACACCUGCAGAGCAAAAGCCUCGUCUUUCUCAUCUAUUUUUACUUCUCAGGAGACCCUGGUCCCUCGAGAACUGUUUUCACCUCCUCGGCUCUGCAUACGUGUUUUGCACAUGAUAUUAAAUAGUAACCUUUUGAGUUUCCCACAUCCUGAUAUGCUCUGGACCCACUGGCCACAUUUUUACACACACACACACACACCCCACACCCCAGUCUAUGCUAGCUGACUGGCUGGCAAAAGAUAAUAACGUUUAGUGGAGCUCUCUCUCCUUUUUUUUUUUUUUCCAAACAGCUUAAUUAAGAUAUAAUUUACACGCCCUAAAACUCACCGGUUUGAAGUAUGCCACUCAAUGGCUCUCAGUUUAUUUACUGAGUUGGGCUUUAACUGUUUUUCCUUGAAAAAUAGGACACGGCUGGGUGGCCUUUUGACUCCACAUGCUCCCUCCCCACUUUGAAAGGUGACAACAUCUAAGUAGCAGGGAGCAGAUGCUGUCCACAACCCCCCCCCAACACACCCACCAAAGUUGUUUUAUUCAUGGUGCCAUUUACAGCCUGCUUCCUGUGCUGAGUCUGAGCGGCUCAGGCCUGCUUCGUAGGAG